GUCAGUUGUCAGUACACUGUAUAAUGAACACCCCUUUGUGUCAAAACCGGAUUUAACUUGAGUGUGAAUAGUCGACUGUUUCAUGUUCUUUGUAUCAAUACCAUCUGUGUAUCUGUAUUAUAAGUAUACCAGUCAACAAACAAGGUGCGCGCUUCCGCAUAUGGGUAUUCGGACGUUCAAAAAAUUGACCUACGGUUUAGCGUUCUCGCCGUCGAACGCAUUAAGCAAUAUAACUCAAUUUUUUUUCACUAUUUCUUUACUUGCAAAAAAUACUAGUGGCUUAUAACUUACCUUGCAUUCUUUUUUUCUCGCAUUUUGCGAGUGUGCGAGUGUUAAUUUCGAGCCCUGUGUAUAUGCGUGGAUUACGCUGGAUUUAAACGCCUCUUGCCUACGAUGCGUCCCCUUCAAGUGUAAACAACAGUUGCGGCUACAUUGAAGUUCAAACACCCUCUCUAUUGUUUUAUGGAAGAAAUGUGACAAUAACAUUCAAGCCAAUUGACGACAAGAACGCUUCUGCUCAAUUAAUAGAUUCUUACAACCGAAAUGUAACAUAUAAACAUCACCAUCAUGAUAAUGAAAGUAACGUCUUUACAUUUAUACUGCCCCAGAACAGUACAGCUAAACGUAUCCAAGAUUAUUUGGUAAUAUAUGACGAGUGUGGUUCUGGUGUUGUUCGUUUAGAAUUGCAAGAUCCCCCAACACUAGGACCACGGAAGAAUAUCGAAGGUUGCCAUGGUUGUUUAAUAGCAUCAAUCGGUGAAAAGACAGAUGCCUUUAAAAACGAUGAACCAGUGAUCAGUUGUUCAUUGUCGAAACCUAUUUCAUGGACGGUAUUUAUAACGAUUAAUAAUAAAACACUUCGAGCGCUCAGCUUUUCAAAAGGCAAAUUCACCGUUCACCAUACAGUUCAGGCCGUUGAUCAUAUGACCACUGUUGAGUGCUCUAUGACUAUCGGAGACCUAACGUUGGUUGAUACGGCAAUUCUUUAUGCUCAAGAUACGCCAAGCGUUCAGUUUAACACGCCGAACCAUACAUUCGUUCCCAAAGGUUCCUCAAACGAGAUUACGUGUCUUGUGGACAGUAGAGCACCUCCUAACAUUACGUGGUUCUACAUGCAGGAUGGUGGCCAAAUAACGAAAACGUGUAACGCUGUCACCCAAUGCUCUGUUCUUGUGUCCGGUUUACAAAAAGGAGAGACGCGAACGUAUGUGUGCACGGUGGAGACGGUUGGCAGAAAGCUGAGCAUUUCCUUGCUUGC